ACUGCGGCUGAGAACUGCCACCAUGAUCUCCCACACUCAGCUUCUCUGGAUACUGGUGUUUUGGAUUCAGGAGUCCACUGGGCAGAAAGUGCUGACACAGACUCCAGAAUCGCUAUCGGUCUCCCCAGGAGACACUGUCACUAUCAAAUGCAGAGCCAGUGAAAGUGUUAGCACUUACCUACACUGGUACCAGCAGAAAUCAGGACAAGCUCCUAAACUCAUCAUCCACAACGCCUCCACCCGCCCCUCUGGGAUCCCAGACCGGUUCAGUGGCAGUGGGUCUGGGACCGAUUUCACUCUCACAAUCAACAGGGUUGAAGCUGAAGAUGCUGGAGAUUAUUACUGUCAUCAAAGCUAUAUCCCUAACACAGUGAUACAGACCAAUACAAAAACCUCCCCAUGUGCGUGCGCGCUGCCGAGCAUUUGUCACAGUUGUUUGCACGACAUCACAUUCACAGAUUUCAUAACAAACACAAAACAGGAAGUUAAUGACACAGUUCUCCGCCAUUAG